UACGGAGGGGGCUAGCGGUGUUCGGACUUACUGGGCGUAAAGCGCACGUAGGCGGACCAUUAAGUCGGGGGUGAAAGCCCAGGGCUCAACCCUGGAAUUGCCUUCGAUACUGGCGGGCUUGAGAGUGAGAGAGGUGAGUGGAAUUCCUAGUGUAGAGGUGAAAUUCGUAGAUAUUAGGAAGAACACCAGUGGCGAAGGCGCCUCACUGGCUCAUUUUUGACGCUGAGGUGCGAAAGCGUGGGGAGCAAACAGG
rnacentral:rRNA from 1 species